ACAUCUCAUGGUCUCUAUUAUAGCAAGACAAAUUUUUUUUCCUCUAUUUUUUCAUCUUUGGCAGUUGUACUCUUUAUUUUGUAGUUGCAUCAUUUACUUGGACAAUGUUGAGAAUUGUGCUUAGCUUCUCUACAAUAUAAACAUAAUCCUUUUGGACAAAUGUAGAAUAGAUAUUAAUUCAUUUUUGAAAGAUAUUGAUAAAAUAUACUAAUAGUCCUUAGAAUAGGCAAUUCAAGAGGACGGAUGAUUGAUUUAUUUAUUAAAAGCGAUUAAUAACAGAAUUACGAUUAGAAUUUGGAAAAUCAAGAGAAAGUAUAAUGGAAUUGUAGAAGUUAGUUUAAAGACCAGACUGUAAUAGUCAUGAGCUAAGGUAAGCUUGGUGCUACUUCUUUGUUUUUUUGUUGUUGAAGAAUAAUGAAUGGUUUUUGAAUACUAAGAAGUGAGUUUGUAGAAUAAAUCACAGAUUAAUUUAUAAGUUAUUGAUUAUGUAAUUGGAAUACUAUGUGAUUGAAUUAUAUGAGAAUUUAUUGAAAGAUUGAUUAUGGAUGGAAGAUUAUGAUUGUUGUUUAUUGAAAGUUGUGUGUGUUUUGAUAGAGGAAGUCUGUGAUUACAAAAAUUGUGUGAAUCUAGAUUGGUUGGAGUGAAGUCUACUAUUUAUGGUAUUGGAUGGAAUUUAUGUAUUUUGAGCAGUCUUUUGAGAGUACAUGGUUUCAAUAUGUUGUUAUUAGUUGAUGAAGGAAUAUUGUCACUAGGAGAAAGCCUUGUAGUAUUUUUUGGUGUUUUCAAUAGUUCAGAAUACGGUUAAUUAUAUGACCCUAAUAAGUAGAACUCAUGCACUUAGUCUUUCUCUACAUUCGAAUCCUCCUCUAUAGGUUUAUUUUGAAAGGAAUUUGUAGAAUAAGUAAAAUG
rnacentral:lncRNA from 1 species